rnacentral:rRNA from 1 species
GAUGAACGCUAGCUACAGGCUUAACACAUGCAAGUCGAGGGACCGGCGCACGGGUGAGUAACACGUAUCCAACCUGCCCUUUACUCGGGGAUAGCCUUUCGAAAGCAAUAUUAAUACCCGAUGUAAAGGAUGGGGAUGCGUUCCAUUAGGUUGUUGGUGAGGUAACGGCUGACCAAGCCGUCGAUGGAUAGGGGUUCUGAGAGGAAGGUCCCCCACAUUGAAACUGGGACACGGGCCAAACGCGUACGGGAGGCAGCAGUGAGGGAUAUUGGUGAAUGGGCGUUAGCCUGAACCAGCCAAGUAGCGUGAAGGAUGAAGGCUUAUGGGUCGUAAACUUCUGUUAUAUAAGAAUAUGUAUUAUAUGAAUAAGGAUCGGCUAACUCCGUGCCAGCAGCCGCGGUAAUA